GCCUGGGUGGCGGAACUGGUAGACGCAAGGGACUUAAAAUCCCUCGGUCCCUAGGGCUGUGCGGGUUCGAUUCCCGCCCCAGGCACCA
rnacentral:tRNA from 1 species